AGCGAACGCUGGCGGCAGGCUUAACACAUGCAAGUCGAGCGGGCACUUUCGGGUGUCAGCGGCGGACGGGUGAGUAACGCGUGGGAACGUGCCCUCUGGUUCGGAAUAACUCAGGGAAACUUGAGCUAAUACCGGAUACGCCCUUUUGGGGAAAGGCUUGCUGCCGGAGGAUCGGCCCGCGUCUGAUUAGCUAGUUGGUGAGGUAACGGCUCACCAAGGCGACGAUCAGUAGCUGGGCUGAGAGGAUGAUUAGCCACACUGGGACUGAGACACGGCCCAGACUCCUACGGGAGGCAGCAGUGGGGAAUAUUGGACAAUGGGCGCAAGCCUGAUCCAGCCAUGCCGCGUGAGUGAUGAAGGCCUUAGGGUUGUAAAGCUCUUUUAUCCGGGACGAUAAUGACGGUACCGGAGGAAUAAGCCCCGGCUAACUUCGUG
rnacentral:rRNA from 1 species